GCGUUGGUGGUGCAGUGGUAGCACGACAGUCUCCAAAACUGUAGACGGAGGUUCGAUUCCUCCUCAACGUG
rnacentral:tRNA from 1 species